UAUACUGGCCAUGCAAAUUUCUAGGGUUUGAGGCUAUGGUGAUGGUAUGUUGUGAUAACUAGUGCCACUAUUUCUCUUUUGCUCUUUGUGUCCACAUCCAUUGUGUCGUGGUGAGCUCCGUGCUCGCCAUCGUGCCAUGGAAAGCUCUAGUCUUUUGGGCUAUGGUGAUGGCCGCCCUUUGCGUGGAUUUAGCCCCGGAGAAUAAGUUUUUUAGUUUGACUUGUGGUUUAUAGAAUCAAUUAAUACACAAUCCAGCACUAUUUCUGGUUUGUCUACCGGAUUUUUUCAUUAUUUCCAUGCAGACUAUGUAUGCGAUGCACUUGAGACUUGACCUCUACCUUUCAAGUUUUGAUAAGCUCGAAUAUUGUUAUGCUAUAAUUUUGUGUUUUGUACAUUCGAGAGAGAUCUGACUAGGCUGUUACAGGUUGAGGGAACUUGAUAAGCUCAAGUGACAUGUGGAAUUUGGUUUGCCAACUAGAAGGCGCUCGGCAUCGAGACGGUCCAGCAGUCCGUACACGGUGUGAUGAUAAAACUUCCAUGAAUGCAUCAGCUACAACUACUUGGAUGCGAUCGUUGUUGUGAUAAAGCUGCAGUGGUGGUGUAGGUUAUUCUUUGAGGUCUCCUAAUCUUCUACAACCUCGGCAGUGGUGGCUGCCUCUUCUUGGUUCAGGUUGAGGGAACUUGGUAAGCUCAAGGGACACGUGGAAGUUGGUUUGUCAACUAGAAGGCGCUCGACAUCGAGACCGUCCAGCAGUCUGUACACGGUGGGAUGAUAUGGGCUUACAUGACUGCCUCCUCAGCUACAACUACUUGGGUUUAGUCAUUUGCUAUGUGUUAAUGAUGAUGGUGAUUCUUGCAAAUGAUGUGCAAGGCAAAUUUCCAGAGUUGGAUGAAGAACUGUCAUACUGGAAGUUACUUGGUUGCUUCUAGUUGCUAUUGUCUAGUAGAUGAUAACUGAUUUACUAUGAUUUCUUAAGCUAUCUCUAGUGUUGUGCAUAAGUGUUAAGAGUGUAAAGUUUCACCAUGUUUUCCCAGGUAAUUUAGCUUAUUCUCUGAGGUAGCCUAAUCUUCUACAACCUCGGCAGUGGUGGCCACCUCUUCUUGGUUCAGAAACUGGUUGCCCAAAGCUAUUUCUUACUCGUUGACGUACUGAGAUAAACAUUGGUGGAUUCUAGGUGCACGCUCGUGUCUCAGACUCCACAGGGCACCCAGGAAAUUUAGGUUAUUCUUUGAGGUCUAAUCUUCUACAACCUCGGCAGUGGUGGCUGCCUCUUCUUGGUUCAGGUUGGCCCUGCCAACGCACGGGCGAGCCAAAAAAUUGGCAUUGCUUUUCUGCGCCUGCGUCUUGCCGUCGCGUUGGCAAGAAAUUGAACCGGAGACCCGAGGGCAGCAUUGACAACGCAUGGGCUUUGAUCCAAACACCGCUGGGGCAGUUGGUCAACGCCAAUUAUUUGGCUUGGCAGGCUGGGGCUUCGAACCAAACUGGCUCAUAGUGACUAUUCAUCAUGGUUAUACUACUGUUGGAGGUGUGAUUCUACGGAUAUGCUUCUUGGCAAUGAGAUUAUAGCUACGGGGAGAAAAAAAAAGGUGGAAGUCGCAGGCUAAGGGAAGGGAAAGGUGAUACUCCACAUGGGAUCGAUACCAGGCUGAUGGGCUCGAUCUCAGCUGGGCAGUCGAG